AAGUUCUCCCUGCAACUUGAAGUCUGCUGAAGGAACGUUGAAGACGACGACGUUGAUAGGCCGGGUGUGUAAGCGCAGCGAUGCGUUGAGCUAACCGGUACUAAUGAACCGUGAGGCUUAACCUUACAACGCCGAAGCUGUU
rnacentral:rRNA from 1 species